rnacentral:siRNA from 1 species
GACGAAGGAGCAGAGGUCGAGUAC